rnacentral:rRNA from 1 species
GGAUAACCUGCCCUUGGGACCGGCAUAACCCCGGGAAACUGGGGAUAAUUCCGGAUAACGCACAUAUGCUGGAAUGCUUUAUGCGUGAAAUGGAUUCGUCUGCCCAAGGAUGGGUCUGCGGCCUAUCAGGUAGUAGUGGGUGUAAUGGACCUACUAGCCUACAACGGGUACGGGUUGUGAGAGCAAGAGCCCGGAGAUGGAUUCUGAGACAUGAAUCCAGGCCCUACGGGGCGCAGCGGGCGCGAAAACUUUACAAUGCGGGAAACCGUGAUAAGGGGACACCGAGUGCCAGCAUCAUAUGCUGGCUGUCCAGGUGUGUAAAAUACACCUGUUAGCAAGGGCCGGGCAAGACCGGUGCCAGCCGCCGCGGUAACACCGGCGGCCCGAGUGGUGAUCGUGAUUAUUGGGUCUAAAGGGUCCGUAGCCGGUUUGGUCAGUCCUCCGGGAAAUCUGACAGCUCAACUGUUAGGCUUUCGGGGGAUACUGCCAGACUUGGAACCGGGAGAGGUAAGAGGUACUACAGGGGUAGGAGUGAAAUCUUGUAAUCCCUGUGGGACCACCUGUGGCGAAGGCGUCUUACCAGAACGGGUUCGACGGUGAGGGACGAAAGCUGGGGGCACGAACCGGAUUAGAUACCCGGGUAGUCCCAGCCGUAAACGAUGCUCGCUAGGUGUCAGGCAUGGCGCGACCGUGUCUGGUGCCGCAGGGAAGCCGUGAAGCGAGCCACCUGGGAAGUACGGCCGCAAGGCUGAAACUUAA